rnacentral:rRNA from 1 species
GACGAACCGUGCGAACGUUGUUCGGAAUCACUGGGCUUAAAGGGCGCGUAGGCGGACUGCCAAGUCCGGGGUGAAAUCUUUCGGCUCAACCGGAAAAUAGCCUCGGAGACUGGCGGUCUAGAGGGGGGUAGGGGCAGCUGGAACUUCCGGUGGAGCGGUGAAAUGCGUUGAUAUCUACAGGAACUCCGGUGGCGAAAGCGGCGUGCUGGACCUUUUCUGACGCUGAGGCGCGAAAGCUAGGGGAGCAAACGGG